rnacentral:rRNA from 1 species
UACGUAGGGUGCGAGCGUUGUCCGGAAUUAUUGGGCGUAAAGAGCUCGUAGGCGGUGUGUCGCGUCGGCCGUGAAAACCUGCAGCUUAACUGUGGGCUUGCGGUCGAUACGGGCAUCACUGGAGUUCGGCAGGGGAGACUGGAAUUCCUGGUGUAGCGGUGAAAUGCGUAGAUAUCAAGAGGAACACCUGCGGCGAAGGCGGGUUGCUGGCCGACACUGACGUGAAGCGCGAAAGCCAGGGGAGCGA